CUAAUCCAGCCAGACGAUGGUUCCCCAUUGGGGAGAAUAGGGAAGACGGUGCGCCCGACAGGCAAAUCCGUCGCUGCCCCCGCAACUGUAAGUGGCUGUUUUCCGGCCCGGCCCGCCAUGGGGCUGGCAGUGUCACUGGUGCGCGCCGCAAGGUGGCGCCGGGAAGGCCGCCGGAAAGUCGAGACUCCACCCUCCGCCACAAGCCAGGAGACCUGCCAUCCUUCCCGGUUCCCG
rnacentral:ncRNA from 2 species